rnacentral:rRNA from 1 species
UACGGAGGGUGCAAGCGUUGCUCGGAAUUAUUGGGCGUAAAGGGUAGGUAGGUGGUCUCAUUUGUCUGGGGUGAAAGCCUUGAGCUUAACUCAAGAAGUGCCCCAGAAACGGUGAGACUAGAGUCUUGGAGAGGGUCGUGGAAUUCCCGGUGUAGCGGUGAAAUGCGUAGAGAUCGGGAGGAACACCAGAGGCGAAAGCGGCGACCUGGACAAGAACUGACACUCAACUACGAAAGCGUGGGGAGCAAACAGG